CCAGAGCUCAGCAACAGGGCUCAGGAUGGUGGGGUCCGUUCUUCCUCACUUUAGUCUCCUCUGCAAAGUCUGCACCCACCCCUCAGCAGCUCUUGCUAAUCAGUGUCUCACACUGGUGUAGAAGUUUUUUGUACUGUAAAGAGACCUACCUCAGGUUGCUGAUUGCUGUGUGGUUUGGUGCGCUCUUGCAGACCCCCUUGUGCUCUGGGGCUCGUAGCUUGGGUGGGUGUGGUUGCCACUGUCACCAGUCGAGUGGUCAGCGUCGCAUGUCGUGACCAACUAGACAUUCUGUCGCCUUAGCAUGUUUGCUAAAUACCUUAUAAAAGCAAAAAUAUGAAAAAGUGAAUAAAAUUAUUUUGGAUUUGU
rnacentral:lncRNA from 1 species